rnacentral:rRNA from 1 species
CCCCGCAAGGGGAGUGGCAGACGGGUGCGUAACACGUGGGAACAUACCCUUUGGUUCGGAAUAACUCAGGGAAACUUGAGCUAAUACCGGAUAAGCCCGAGAGGGGAAAGAUUUAUCGCCAAAGGAUUGGCCCGCGUCCGAUUAGCUAGUUGGUGAGGUAACGGCUCACAAAGGCGACGAUCGGUAGCUGGUCUGAGAGGAUGAUCAGCCACACUGGGACUGAGACACGGCCCAG